rnacentral:rRNA from 1 species
GUGCCAGCAGCCGCGGUAAUACGGAGGAUGCAAGCGUUAUCCGGAUUUAUUGGGUUUAAAGGGUGCGUAGGCGGAACUAUAAGUCAGUGGUGAAAUCCUGCAGCUUAACUGUAGACUUGCCAUUGAUACUGUAGUUCUUGAGUGUGGUCAAGGGAGGCGGAAUGUGUAAUGUAGCGGUGAAAUGCUUAGAUAUUACACAGAACACCGAUUGCGAAGGCAGCUUUCUGGGCCAUUACUGACGCUGAUGCACGAAAGCGUGGGGAUCGAACAGGAUUAGAUACCCUGGUAGUCCACGCCGUAAACGAUGAUCACUAGCUGUUGGCGAUAUACAGUCAGCGGCAAAGCAAAAGCAUUAAGUGAUCCACCUGGGGAGUACGGCCGCAAGGCUGAAACUCAAAUGAAUUGACGGGG